GCCUUUCGAAAGGAAGAUUAAUACCGCAUAAGAUUGUAGUAUCGCAUGAUAUAGCAAUUAAAGGAGCAAUCCGCUAUAAGAUGGACCCGCGUCGCAUUAGCGUAGUUGGUAAGGUAAUGGCUCACCAAGGCGACGAUGCGUAGCCGACCUGAGAGGGUGACCAGCCACACCUGGAACUGAGACACGGUCCAGACUCCUACGGGAGGCAGCAUG
rnacentral:rRNA from 1 species